AACGAACGCUGGCGGCAUGCCUAACACAUGCAAGUCGAACGAGACCUUCGGGUCUAGUGGCGCACGGGUGCGUAACGCGUGGGAACCUGCCCUUAGGUUCGGAAUAACUCCCCGAAAGGGGUGCUAAUACCGGAUAAUGUCUUCGGACCAAAGAUUUAUCGCCUUUGGAUGGGCCCGCGUUGGAUUAGCUAGUUGGUAGGGUAAAAGCCUACCAAGGCGACGAUCCAUAGCUGGUCUGAGAGGAUGAUCAGCCACACUGGGACUGAGACACGGCCCAGACCCCUAGGGGGGGCAGCAGUGGGGAAAAUUGGACAGGGGGCGAAAGCCUGACCCAGCAAGGCCGGGGGGGUGAUGAAGGCCUUAGGGUUGUAAAGCUCUUUUACCCGGGAUGAUAAUAACGGUACCGGGAAAAAAAGCCCCGGCUAACCCCGU
rnacentral:rRNA from 1 species